CUUAAAAUGUCACAAUUCCUGGGUUGGUUGCUUAAUCUUUUCAUUUAUAUUAAAUACCACAAAUAUGUGAUAAUUUAAUAUAAUUUUCUUUUUUUUUUGUUUUAUAAACUACUCGCUGUCAUAUUUAGUCAGUCACUUGUAUAUACAACACUAAACAUUUAUAUAAUAAAUAUAUUUUAAUAAUAAUUAUAGUUUAAUAAACGUUUAAAGUAAUUAACGUUUAAUUAAUAAUCUAAUUAAGUGAAUGGGUCAAAGUGAAUCUCAUUAAUGUAAUUAAAAAUACAUGUGAUUUAAUAAAAAAAAAUGCAUAAAUGAUAAUAAAACAAUAUAGAUAAAUAAUAAUGCAGUCGGUCAGUGAUAAUCUUUCAUUUGUAACUUUCUCCGAGAGAAUAAUGGAGUCCGAGUACUUGGAGACGUCUUGGAAAAAUAGACUGCAAUUUUUAAAAAGACGAAUUGUUUAUUUUAUAAGAGAAGUUACCAGUAGAUAUGGAAAGAAAAAAGGAUACUCGAAAUUUCUAACUGAUGAAGAAAAAAGAUGGCUGGCUAAUGCCGAGUAUGAUUUAUCAACUAGAGCCAGUAUUCCAUACAGUUUUUGAUACAUUACUUAAUAAAUGGAAG